AAAAGCAUUCAAAAAUAACUACGAUUAGGCUUCCCCUGUUUUAAUGUUAACCUUAUAAGCAUUAUUUAAAGGCUUAAUUAUAUUUCCACUAUAUAGCACAAGACAGAUACUUCUCACUUCAGUUUCCCUUAGUAACCAUAAAUGUGAAAAGCUGACUGCAGCACAGUUUGAGGGUCAUUUCAAGAACAGAACAGGCAGAGAAAGGCUCCAUUUUCAGAUACAGCUAGAAGAACAGAUCUAUACUGUAGAAGGUAUAGACCUACGAAAAUUAUUAGAAGGCGGCUGGAAGGAAGGCUGUGUGUGCAGUUUACCUUCUCCCUCCAUGAACUGACUGCAGACAGAAGCGAGGUGAGGAUGUCUAAGAAGAGCUCCAGGUGUAGAAGUCUGCACUCAGGAUCAAAGUGUUACCUGGAAGAAAUCUGAAGGACAUCUACUCCAACCCCCCACUUUAAAGCAGGACUACUGUCAACAUCAGAUCAGGAGGUGGACAGGCGGACUUUGGGGGCUCUUUUCUGUGGUGCCUGGCGCCCGGCAAGGCCCGCGCUGCUGCCGGCCCCCGGCAGCUACAGGCGGAGCCGUGCCGGCAGCCCCUCGCCCUGUCCCGCAGCCAAAACACUUGGGACCUUACUUCCUUGGGGUCUCAAGCUGACUUACCGUCACCUACACGUAUUUAUGAACUUAUCUGUAGUUCGGGGG